rnacentral:lncRNA from 1 species
GGCGGCGGGAGGAGGCGGCGCGGGCUGGGCCCCGGGCGGCUGCCAGGACAACCAGGGAUUUGCGGCCGGGCCGUACCACUGGCAGCGCGGCAGGGGCGGCCGGCCAGGCCCCGCUGGGCGCAGGCCUAUGGAGGGCGGAACCCUGGAGCCCCCAGGGGAGGGCACGGCGCAGCCUCCUGCCCCCAACAGGAUUCCUCACAUCCCAGGACCAGCUGGAAAAGGUGGUGAGAGUUGGAAAGAGACUGCUCAGUGAGGACUGCCCUGCGAACCAGCUUGGAUUCAUCCCGUUCACCUCCACGUUCUGCACUCGGGGCCGAGGGAAGGGAGGCAGCCCAGGCAGCUAGAGAACUUGAUGAAACACACUCAAUCUGAAUCUCGCUUGAUCGUCAUGCUGACCCAGUGAGUCUACUCAGGGUCAGGCAUCCUUUCCGACUACUCACUCAGCAGCGGAUCCCCACCCGCCUCUGACUCCCAGUGUCUUUCGGCUCCAACGUAAGUUCACCGAACGUCUAAGAGCUGAGGAUUCAAAGGCAUGUAAGACCGCCCCUGCCCUCAGCUGCAAGACCUGUCCGCGAUCCUACGAGCCCCAUUCCGCCCUCUUUCCCCGACCUUGGUCCCCCAUGGGCCCUACAACCAGGUCCCCGACUGACACCUUGACCAGCGAACACAGCAAACAGGCCCGCAGAUGCCGCAGGUCCUUCGGCACCGUCUCCAGGGCCAUCUUCGCCGAUGGGAAGAACAACAGGGAGAUAGACGACCACAGCCUGUGCACCCGCAGGAAAAGCAUUGGGGGCAGUGAAUCCACUGUCUCCCUCUGGAUUGUCUCUGCAGAGACCGAGAAGAAAUCCAGGGACAGCCCCACCCCUCCUUCCUAACUGCGAGAGCGCUAUAGGGUUUCCACUUGCUUCCCACAGGAAUGCUGGCCUGGGAGCUACGGCGGAAAAAAAUGCGUAUUUAUCUUUUAAAACUCCGUCUGUUUGCUCGUUCCGGCUGAUAAUUUAUACUUUGCGCAGUUCUUAGCGCUUAGACACGGUUCCUUUACUAAAGACCAUUUGUAGGAGAUUAGGUGUCCUUUUUUUCCCUUUCAUUUCACCGUCUAGGAAGCGAAAUGCCUUGUUCUAUAGGCACUAAACCACCACCCCUACCAAACCUUUCUCGGGGAAGCAGAAGGGGAACUUGUGCCUUGUGAGGAAGCGACAAAGGCCCCUUCUGGCCCUGGAGACUUCACGCCAAUGGAGCACCAGCUCUCUGUCCUCGCAAUAGCCCGAGUGCAGGCAGAACGCAGUCAUUUGUGUUUAUCUGAGAGGAGCUUUGGGAUAUAAAUAGUUUCAGGCCCCGCUGCGCUGUCAUUCCAGCCCAGCCUCCUGAUUGAGCUGCUUCCGGGCGGGCUUUCUUCUUGUUGGCGGUCCCAUGCUGUGUUCAGAUGGGCUCUGUGACAGGUUUGGAUGUUUUCUAUCACUGAAUAAAACUUUCCACUUUGGAACAUAUUUUCUACACUCUAUUAUCUCAUGUAAGUCCUGCAACAACUAUUAAGUAGGCCCAUUUUAUGGACUGAAAAAGCGAGGCACAGAGUAUUUGCCCAAGGUCUGAGUCACUGAAGUAUGAUAAUGUGUGAAGUGAACAGUAUAAUAAUAAUGACUGAAGCACAGUAAGAAUCCAGUCAUGCUUUCUCCUUCCCUGAUCUCACUAAGCCACACUUUUAGGGGCUUACAAACCAGUUCUUAUUGCCAAGCCCUCUACUCUACCCUAUCCUUUCAUGAAUCGGAGCCUAGCCUCUGAUAACAUAAAUAAUUUACUUCUCUUGAUGUAGAAAGAGAUGACGUUGUUACCCUGAGUGACAGUCACGACAGAACAAAACCACAAGACCAGACCACAUUUGUGGAUAAAUAUAUUAGCAAAUAAAUAUAUUUCUUAACAUA